rnacentral:lncRNA from 1 species
CCCGCCCCGCCACCCGAGAAGGAGUCUCAGCCUGUCGCUCAGGCUGAAUUGCAGUGGCGCGAUCUCGGCUCACUGCAACCUCCGCCUACUGGGUUUAAGCAAUUCCCCUGCCUCAUCUUCCCGAGUAGCUGGGACUACAGGCGUGCGCCACCAUGCUUGGCUAAUUUUUUUUUUUUUGUAUUUUUGGUAGAGUUGGGGUUUCACCAUGUUGGCCAGGCUGGUCUCGAACUCCUGACCUCAUGAUCCGUCUGCCUCGGCUUCCCAAAGUGCUAGGAUGACAGGCGUGAGCCACCGCGCCCGGCCAGUGUGUGAUGUUUCUAUGCCUG